rnacentral:rRNA from 1 species
CCUACGGGUGGCAGCAGCAAGGAAUCUUGGGCAAUGGGCGCAAGCCUGACCCAGCGACGCCGCGUGGAGGAUGACGGCCUUCGGGUUGUAAACUCCUUUUCUCCGGGAAGAAGCUCUGACGGUACCGGAGGAAUCAGCCACGGCUAACUACGUGCCAGCAGCCGCGGUAAUACGUAGGUGGCGAGCGUUGUCCGGAUUUACUGGGCGUAAAGCGCGCGCAGGUGGCGCCCUAAGUCCGGUGUGAAAUCUCCCGGCUCACCCGGGAGGGUGCGCUGGAGACUGGGGUGCUGGAGGCAGGCAGAGGCCGGUGGAAUUCCCGGUGUAGUGGUGAAAUGCGUAGAGAUCGGGAGGAACACCCGUGGCGAAAGCGGCCGGCUGGGCCUGUCCUGACGCUGAGGCGCGAAAGCGUGGGGAGCGAACCGGAUUAGAUACCCUAGUAG